CGCCUCGUUAAUGCCUCAGCCUUACAAUAUAGCACUGGUGAUGAAGAUGGGAUAGGAUUUCGCCCACACUCAGCUGAGCAAUAGGAUGGAAGAAUGGUGCCGCCAACGUUUGCCCCUUUUGACGCACGAGAGGAGUCUUGGGACGCCUACAUGGAGAGGAUACUGUUGAAUGAUGGCCGAACAUGGCACUGACACGUGGACCACCUGAGGGUACGCCAGACAACCCACCCGAUGGUCCCGGACAGGGAGGCCCCUUGGACAACCUUCUAUGAUGAGCCUACUCCCGGCCAGUCCCGGCCGCUGACCAGCCACCAUCUGCGCUGGAAAAUCAAAAAGCAUCUCGGACUUACCGACUGCGGCCGCACCCUCCACCGAACAGGAGGAGCUAUCAGCAGCGCCAUGUCCUGGAGGUGAACCUGCCUCUUCCCCGACCGCGCCUGCAUUGAGAUGAGCUACACGGGUGCGUAAGCGCCUGGAAUACCUAAAAGAUUAUGUAUGUUCCAUCCGGGGGUGAAGGAGUGUUGUGAUUCGCCAGCGGCCCGACAACAAGAACGCUAGAUACAUACAUACUAUAUACAUACUAGAUUGUAUGUGUUUCAAGUGUUUAGGAUCUCUUUGUAACUGGCUAUGUACCCUCAAUCAUGCAUCUGAUUCUCAGACAAGCAAGGAAAAUAAAUUGGAAUACUUUUAAUCUUAA